GAGACAGCCGAAAAAUCGGCUAAGUCCUCGAAGGAUAGCUCUCGGGAACCGGUCUCUGCCUGAGAGAUCGGUCCCCCAGAGACCGGUCCCAUCGGAGGGAGACCGGUCGCAUCGCGCGCAGCGACUCUGGCUGCGCAGGGUGGACGUUCGGGAACCGGUCCCUGCUCGGGGAGACCGGUCUCUGCCUGCGAAAACUGCCCAGUUCGGGCAGUGUA
rnacentral:lncRNA from 1 species